UUCCGGUUGAUCCUGCCGGACCUUACUGCUAUCGGGGUGGGACUAAGACAUGCGAGUCGAGCGUCUCUAGCUAUGUUGAGACGCGGCAGACGGCUCAGUAACACGUGGCUAACCUACCCUCAGGACGAGGACAAACCCGGGAAACUGGGGCUAAUACUCGAUAGGUGAGUAUGUCUGGAAUGAUUUCUCACUCAAAGGGCUUUAGAAACAUGCUUCUAAAGUCGCCUGGGGAUGGGGCCGCGUCCGAUCAGGUUGUUGGUGAGGUAAUGGCUCACCAAGCCUAUAACCGGUACGGGCCGUGAGAGCGGUAGCCCGGAGAUGGGUACUGAGACAAGGACCCAGGCCCCACGGGGCGCAGCAGUCGCGAAAACUCCGCAAUGCACGAAAGUGUGACGGGGCUACCCCGAGUGCCAUCCGCUGAGGAUGGCUUUUCCUUGGUAUAACUAGCCGAGGGAAUAAGGAGAGGGCAAGACUGGUGUCAGCCGCCGCGGUAAUACCAGCUCUCCGAGUGGUAGGGAUGAUUAUUGGGCUUAAAGCGUCCGUAGCCGGCUUAGCAAGUCUCCUGUUAAAUUCAGCGACCUAAUCGUUGAGCCGCGGGAGAUACUACUAGGCUAGGAGGCGGGAGAGGUCGACGGUACUUCUGGGGUAGGGGUGAAAUCCUAUAAUCCCGGGAGGACCACCAGUGGCGAAGGCUGUCGACUAGAACGCGCUCGACGGUGAGGGACGAAAGCUGGGGGGAGCGAACCGGAUUAGAUACCCGGGUAGUCCCAGCCGUAAACGAUGCGGGCUAGGUGUUGGGGUGGCUACGUGCCACUUCAGUGCCGCAGGGAAGCCAUUAAGCCCGCCGCCUGGAGAGUACGGCCGCAAGGCUGAAACUUAAAGGAUUUGGCGGGGGAGCACCACAGGCGUGAAGCUUGCGUUCAAUUG
rnacentral:rRNA from 1 species